GACCCGAAAGAUGGUGAACUAUGCCUGAUCAGGCCGAAGUCAGGGGAAACCCUGAUGGAGGGCCGAAGCAAUUCUGACGUGCAAAUCGAUUGUCAGAGUUGGGCAUAGGGGCGAAAGACCAAUCGAACCAUCUAGUAGCUGG
rnacentral:ncRNA from 2 species